rnacentral:rRNA from 1 species
AACGAACGCUGGCGGCAGGCCUAACACAUGCAAGUCGAACGCCCUAGCAAUAGGGAGUGGCAGACGGGUGAGUAACACGUGGGAACGUGCCUUUCGGUUCGGAAUAACCCAGGGAAACUUGGACUAAUACCGGAUACGUGCGAGAGCAGAAAGAUUUAUCGCCGAAAGAUCGGCCCGNGUCCGAUUAGCUAGUUGGUGAGGUAACGGCUCACCAAGGCGACGAUCGGUAGCUGGUCU